CAACAUAGUUGAGAGACCUUCUGAGAACCUGGAAGUGGUUUCAUUGUGUUAAUCUGAUGCUGGUAACAAGCCUAGACUUACAGUAUGGAUCAUCACCUGCAUGCUAGCCACAAUAUUUUCCUCUGCUGAAAGGUUUUUGGACAUUCCUGAACUAUGUUUGCAGGCAAUAUUUGAAAGAGUAUGUAACAGAAACUUAAGAAGAACCAUAGAGACCAAAGGAUCAUUUAUUUCAGUAUCCCUCCUCCUACAGUAGACAAAAAUAAUAAUCUAGAGAAGGGUGAAAAAAGCCAUCAAACGUACUUCCCCUGAAUAAUGCUGCAGUCCAAGCCACCCUCCCAGCCUUUGAUCUUGUCUCCUGCAACAAAGGUCUUGGAUUUGACCUCUGUGAGGUCCAUGCUACCUCACAGAGGGCCUCUCCCCACUCCCGUGCUGCUGCUAAGCCAGCUGCUGAGGCUGCUCAGAUAUCUCUGAAAUAAUGAACCACAGCAGUCUAUCAUAUUAAAGUAAACCACCAUCAAUUUCAGUUUUCCUUAGUAAAUUAAACUUUUUUCUGUCCAUUCAAAAGAUGCUGCCUGAGCAGUUUAGUGGACUAUGCCCUAUUAACUUUGACCCAUGCUUUAGGGUAAACUGGCAAGAUGCUAUGGGUUGCACAUGUCCCACUGUGGAACUUCUUGACGUCAUAAGAAGCAAAUAUGUUACUAGCCAAAGACAGUAUUGACAUGUAAAUUUAUGAUGACUAAAAAAUAAAAAUAAAAAAAUCAACCCACAACAAUACAUAUAGCAUUGAUGUGCUACAUCCUUUUUGAUGAAAUAUGUGCUAUAUCCUUUUUGAUGAAAUAUUUAGUAGCAGAUAAUGUCUGGCUUAUUUUAGUGUUCAAGCCAGAGCAAGUCCUGACACUCACAGAAGGAAGUCAAUUGAAAUGGAAGGGGCAAAUGAAGAGGACAAUUACUUGAACCAUUAAACAGAGACAAGACAAGCAUAAUUAAUGAACUUCACGGGAGAAAAGUAUUAAAUAGUGAUAACUGAAUAUUCAGCUGAAUUCAACUAUAAAAUGGUUGUAACAGUUCAAAAAAUAGCCUGUAGUCAUAUCUGCUUAUUAAAAAUGGUCUCUUUAACCUAUCAGCAAG
rnacentral:lncRNA from 1 species